CGUCGAAGGCUAAGUUGAGCCAGCUAUGGCGGAAUCUAAACAUCAUUGUUUUAAAACAACAGGCAAACAACACUUAUUUUCGUCAUCAAAAUCCCAAAUAUUUCCAAAACAAAAACCGCUCAUACCAUGACUUAUAUAUAAGUUAUAGAUGAAGCUAAAAUAUCUAGGAUUUAGUUUGAAUUUCGGUCUCAAAUUUGUGUUCAAAAAUUGUCUAUUUUGAACCGAGUUGUGAAUAUUUCUACAAAUGGCAAAUUCAAAUGGUAUUUCUUCAUUCCAUUUUGGAAAGAAUGUAUACCUUUUGGGGCUGAAUGUCAGUAGGAGAGGACAAAGAGCUUUCUACAGUGGAAUUACAAGAGGAAAAUCUAACUUGGAAGGUUGUUGCAAGACGCUACAAGACAGAAAAGUAUCAAGUAGAAAGAUUAACACUGAAUUGAAGCCUAGAAAUCGGAAAAAUCAUCCAAAUGAGUCUUUAACUUCUAGGUCUGUCGUCCAAGGCAGCUUCUUAAAGGUUUUUAGGACUCACCAAUGUUUCAAUUCAAGAACAUUUGUAACUAGUCAACGCCUACGACUUCAAGAACCAUGGAUGAUUUCAGACUAUGAGGUGAAUUCCCUUGUUAAUAGAUGUGAGACAGCAGCUUCUGUUAAUCGUGGUAUUAUAGAUCGUUAUGAGACCAAUCAACUUGCUUCUAACCAGCCUGUUGAGGAUCGCAAGUUUGUCGUUAGCCUACUUCAUGAAGAUGGGGAGCAUUUAUUUGGAGUUCUCGAUGGUCAUGGAGGUGAUUCCUGUGCUCAAAGUGUCAGUCACAGACUUCCUGAUUACAUUGGAUUAGCUCUUUUACCACCAGAGAUUUUAAUGGAGUUAGGUAACGAUGUACCUGACGUGAGGGAAUAUCUAACAAUGACAAGUGAUUCCGAACAUAAUGGUUAUAAUUACAUGGAUGACCCAAUAUGCCGUCAAAGUUUAUAUAAGUAUUUUAAGAAGCUUAAGAAGAUGUAUGUUUCGAAAGGUUAUCAUGUAGGAAGUAACUUAAAGCAGAGGUCAUCCAGAGGGCUAUUUACUUCUUUCGCAGAAUUCCAUGACGUACGGACAUCCUUCAAAAUGAAUGCAUUGAGUCAUGCAUUUUUGAGCCUUGACGAAGAUAUCUCAGCAGAAGCUUUAAGGUUUGAUGAAGCCGGUAAAGUUAACGAACAUGCUUUUGCAGCAGCUAAUGCUGGAGCUUGUGCUUUAGUAGCACAUAUUAAUGNAACAGAGCUGUGUAUUGCCAAUACUGGGGACUGUAGAGCAGUGCUUGGUGUGGAGAAUGAAAACAAGAGCUGGUCGGCAAUUCAGCUUUCUUCUGAUCACACGACAGGUAACCCAGGAGAGGUUGAGCGUAUAGUCAGCCAACAUCCUCCAGAAGAAGCCACCACCUGCAUUGAAUAUGAACGAUUACUCAGUAGACUUGCACCGCUGAGAGCAUUUGGUGAUGUGCGCUUCAAAUGGGACUCUAAAACACAGAAGGAAGUGUACAGUAAGAGUAAUUCAUCUGUAAGAUAUUUCACUGAAAAAGAACAUUUAUACACNCCUCCAUACCUUACUGCAGAGCCUGAACUGACGUCAUACCAGCUUCAGCGCUCCGACAAAUUCUUGGUCCUGGCCACAGAUGGAUUGUGGGAUAUGUUGAGUAACGAAGAGGUUGUUCAUUAUGUAAAAGCACAUGUAAACAAGAAAAAUGGCGCAGAACGUGAGAAAACUUCAAUGGAGAUUACAUACAACAAGCAAGAAUUACCCUGCGAAAUGUUGAACUCUGCUUCGUGUCUGAUCCGCGAGGCUUUGGGUGGUGACGAUCAUGUGUCUGUGAGUACGUCGUUGAGUAUUCCGUUUCCAGAUGUGAGAAGGUACCGUGACGACAUGACUAUUAUUGUUGUUUUCUUUGACUGGGAUCAGCUGGAAAUACCAAGUGAGAGUGAACAGGAUUUUCCACUUAUAAUAUAAUAAUUGACAGAGGAAUUGGCGUGGGCAUCCACCUUGUACAGUUUCGAAAUCACUCCUAUGCCUCAAGAGAUUCAGAGAUUCCAGAGAUUCCCAUGGGGGAGGUGGUGGGGACCAAUAAUUUGCAAUGGUCCAAUUCCUUCUAAAUAAUGAAUAAUAUGAAUUCCGCACAAUGUGUAAUUGUAUGUAGAUUCGCUAAUGCUAUGCAGAAUAAGUCUAAAGAUCGUUUUUAUGCAAACUAAUGAAUCUAAAAAAUCUAAUGUGUUUACCACUCCUGGGUGGACGGCUUAAUGCCUAACAGGCCUUGUGGCCCAAUCGAUAAGGCAGCUGGUAGAUCAAAUAAGAAUUUAGAAGUUGAUUUUUGUGGAGGGAGGAAAAACCGGAGAACCCGGAAGAAAAACCCUCGAAGCGGGGGAGAGAUACAAUGAGCUAACUCCACUCACAUAAAACACCGAGCACGGAAGAGCUCGAACCCGGUGUAAAUGAUUUGCUGUUUAUUCGAUUACGUCACUUCGUCAAUUACUAUUAGCGUAGUAUAAUGUUUCAGCCUCGUGGCUUUAGAUUGAAUACUGUACGGGAGGAAAGAGUUUUUACGUGAUCCAACAUUAUUACAAUAAAGAAUCGAGUAUGGAUUACAGUGUUUAAGCCUUUCUCCCCAAGCGGCGUAACCGCGGGUCUAGUUGACAGCAAGGGUGACCCCAAGCCGCUACAGUAAAAACUCUUUCNAUCAAAACGUUCAAGUUAAAACCAUCGGAUUGAAACAAGGCCUAGCGAACUGAUCAUGACAGAAAAACGAGUAAGAAUACAGACCGAGAAAG
rnacentral:misc_RNA from 1 species